AUUGAACGCUGGCGGAAUGCUUUACACAUGCAAGUCGAACGGCAGCACGGACUUCGGUCUGGUGGCGAGUGGCGAACGGGUGAGUAAUACAUCGGAACGUGCCCAGUCGUGGGGGAUAACGUAGCGAAAGCUACGCUAAUACCGCAGACGAUCUAAGGAUGAAAGAGGGGGAGCGCAAGACCUCGCGCGAUUGGAGUGGCCGAUGGCAGAUUAGGUAGUUGGUAGGGUAAAGGCCUACCAAGCCGACGAUCUGUAGCUGGUCUGAGAGGAUGAUCAGCCACACUGGGACUGAGACACGGCCCAGACUCCUACGGGAGGCAGCAGUGGGGAAUUUUGGACAAUGGGCGCAAGCCUGAUCCAGCCAUUCCGCGUGCAGGAUGAAGGCCUUCGGGUUGUAAACUGCUUUUGUACAGAACGAAAAGGCUCUGGUUAAUACCCGGGGCUCAUGACGGUACUGUAAGAAUAAGCACCGGCUAAAUACGUGCCAGCAGCCGCAGUAAAAC
rnacentral:rRNA from 1 species